rnacentral:lncRNA from 1 species
CAACAGAUAAAGAGUAUUGGGUUAGAAUGAAUCAGAGGUGUUUUUUGUGAUAAGGGUGACAGAGAAAGUGUUUAGUCAAUGAACAAGCAAUGUAUUUCAAGUUGAAAUCAAAGUUAUCAUGGCAAGUGAAGUAGCAAUCACCACAAAGUCAAGGCCACAAACCAACCACCAUGUUUAAACUCACAAGUUUUCUUUGUCUGAAACAGGGGUGAAGGCUAUGUUCAUAUCAAAGCUUGGAAGCUUGAAUUUUUCAUGUGUAAUGCCCCAGUUCUGCUUACGCAAAGGCUAUUGAGAAGAUCACACAUCACCCCUAGGAGAAACACUUCCUAGUCUGGGUUUUCAAGUUAUAUUUUGUUGUAGGAGAUGCACUUCCUAAAUUGAGGUAUCGCCCUUAGGAGACACACUUCCUAUCCUAGAUCUUUAAGGUUAUAUUUUUGUUUUAGGAGACGCACUUCCUAAAUUGAAAUUUUACCCCUAGGAAAUGCACUUCCUAGUUUGGAUCAUAUGAGUUUGAGUCACUGAGGUUUUACCCCUAUGAGAUGCACUUCCUAGUCUAAGUCUUUCAAGUUAUAUUUUGCUCUAGGAGACACACUUCAUAAAUCGAGAUUCCACCCCUAGGAGACGCACUUCCUAGUCUUGGUCAUUUAAAUUCAUCCCUAAGACACGCACAUCCUAGUUGGAGUCAUUGAAAUUUUACCCGUUAGGAGAAGCACUUCCUAGUCUGGGUCUUUCAAGAUACACUUUCAGGAAACGCACUUCCUAAAUUGAGUUUCACCCCCUAGGAGACGCACUUCCUAGUCUGGGUCUUUCCGUUUAUAUUUUUUCUUUAGGAGACGCACUUCCUAAAUUAAGUUUUAUCCUUAGGAGACGCACUUCCUAGCUUUGGUCAUUUAAAUUCAUUUCUAGGAGACGCACUUCCUAGUUUGAGUCGGUGAAGUUUCACCCCUAGGAGACGCACUUCCUAGUUUGGGUUCUUUAGGAUAUACUUUUAGGAGACACAUUUCCUAAAUUAAGAGUUUAUCCUCUAGGAGACGCACUUCCUAGUUUGUGUCAUUUAAGUUUCAUCUAGGAGACGCACUUCCUGGUUUGAAUCAUUGAAGUUUCACCCCUAGGAGAUGCACUUCCUAGUCUAGGUCUUUUAGGUUAUAUUUUGUUUUAGGAGAUGCACUUCCUAAAUCGAGUUUUACCCAUAGAAGACGCACCUCCUAGUUUGGGUCUUUCAGGUUAUAUUUUGUUUUUGGAGACGCACUUCCUAAAUUAGGAUUUCACCCGUAGGAGACACACUUCCUAGUUUGGUUCAUUCAAGUUUCACCCCUAGGAGACGCACUUCCUAGUCUGGGUCUUUCAAGUUAUAUUUUUAUUUUAGGAGACACACUUCCUAGUUUUGGUUGUUUAAGUCCAUCUAAGAGAUGCACUUCCUAGUUUGAGUCACUAUUGUUAUAUUUGUUUUAGGAGAUGCACUUCCUAGUCAAAGUUUGCUAGUUUUACUCUUCGGAAACACACUUCCUAGUAUAAGUUUGUCAAUUUUAAUCAUAGGAGACGCACAUCCUAGUCGAGUCUUUAGUUUACUCUCAUCAUUGCAUCAAUAGCACAAGUGGUUUACAAUUUUGCUAACAACUCACAAAUCUUUCGAGUGCAAACUGGGGCAGAAAUUUUUUUUUGUUUGUUUUGUUGUUUUGAUUGAAGGCACCCACCUGGAGAACAAGGGAAUUCAGUUCAAGUUUUGGCAAUCAGGCGCCCACUUGGAGAACAAGUGAAUACAGUUCAAGUUUUGGCAAUCAGGCCCACCUGGAGAACAAGGGAAUACAGUUCAAGUUUUAGCAAUCAGGUGCCCACUUGGAGAACAAGGGAAUAUAGUUCAAGUUUUGGCAUCAGGCGCCCACCUGGAGAACAAGGGAAUACAGUUCAAGUUUUGGCAAUCAGGCGCCCACCUGGAGAACAAGGGAAUACAGUUCAAGUUUAUGGCAAUCAGGUGCCCACCUGGAAAACAAGGGAAUAUAAUUCAAGUUUUGGCAGCAGGCGCCCACCUGGAGAACAAGGGAAGUCAUUUUACAAUACAAUUCAAGUUAGAAGAAGCAGAAGUUUGCAGCAAGAAUGUGAGCCAACUGUCCGAGAUGAUCAACACAAGUUAGUCACAAUCCAGAAUAAAAUAAAAUAAAAAAGAAGAAGAAGUGAAUCCAAAAUGCAGAAGUAGAGAAAGAUGUGAACUACUCAAGACAUGAUGACUGAAAUAAUGACCAUUUCAUGUCCGGUCCUAAUCCGAAGAAGAAUGAACUAGCACCUAUAACUAGCGAGCGUCAAGGUUCAAAUCUAAAGUCUAUAUAAAGAACUAUUCAAGACUCAAGAUCAAGCUUCAGAAGACUUAUAGAGAGGAAUCUUGUAACUCAUAGUUGACAUGCUUAGUUAGUCUUUUUGAUUUUUUGAUUUCGAUGUAAUAACAGGACCGCAGACCGGAACCUCGACGGAACGACACCUCAACCGGCUCUCCACCUCGGUAUACUCUAUCACCUCAUUCACUUCUGAACUACACGUGGCCUGAUUCCUUUAUAGCCAAGGAUAUGUAGGCAGCUCAGAUACCAGGGCUCGGUUACAUUCCCCUUUCUCUUAGUUUUGGUCUCUUGAAAUAAAGGUCGGGUCAAAAAACCUGUCUAGUCGUUCUUUGUCUGAAAACUCUUCGCGUUCCCAGUCAAAGAGGGGCUGCUGUAGACAUUUUAUUUUUGACCCUCCUCAAGAUUUUACAUAUUUUAGUAUUUAAAUAUUUAGUUUAGGCCUAAUAUCACUAUUUUAAUUAGUUUUGGCCCUUUUACUUUAUUUUAUCACGAAAAAUGAAAAUUACAAAAAAUAGUUUCAUUAAUGUUUUGUUGUCAUUUUUAAUCUUGAAAAAUACCAAAAAUAGGUUUGUUUUAACGGUUAGUGUUAUUUUAAUAGUUAUUUUCUUAAGUAAGAUUAAGUAGUAUUUUUAAUAGUUUAUCUUGUUUGCUAUAUUAUUUUUACGUACAAAAAAGGAGGAGGGAAUAGAAUUAAUUUUUUGGACUAAUUUAGUCUUGCUUUUAGCCUAAUUAAACCAAUCUCUUAGCCCAUUAACCCAAAAGCCCAAACCUUAACCCAUCAGCACACUACACAAAUAAAAUUAACCAAGAAUCCUAAUCAAAACAAGAGCUAGAGACCUAGUUGAGGGAUCCGCCGUUUUCAAAAAAUCAGACCCCACCCCUAAAAUCCAUCUUCCUCGCCCCACCUCAAACGACCCUCUCUUCAAGACCUACACAGACCUAUACAUACAUAGAGAUCUGAUGUAGCACCAAUGGGCAGACCCCUGUAAUCCAAAGAACAACGAACCUGUAAAACCUUCCCAGCUAUGGCUUCUUCUCUUUCAUAUUACAAGACCAAAGACUCAAGACCUUAACCUACACAACAAUAAUAGCCGCAACACCCUAAGAAAACCUCACUCCCGGCGUCAAACACACCUCCUAAACCGCUGUCGACCAGCCAAACAACCAUCCAACUCCACCUCCGUUCCGACAACCACCAUCAUCCGUCAAUUUCAGUUCUUCUUCGUUUCAAUUUGGGUUUCAAAUUCGAAACACAAAAACAAAAAUCAUUUCAUUUCUGUUUCGAUUCUUCAUAGACUUCAUAUGAAGUUCGGUUCUGAGGUCGUCACUGUUCAUCGAGGUUAGGAAUUGUGGUUCGUAGUUUCAGAUGAUUUUGAUUGCUGUUUCGGAUUUGAUUGUGGCUGUGGUUACUUUACGCCCUUGUAACUAUCGAAAUUUUCAUUAAUCAAAGGCAAAUUUCAAUUCGUGGCAGUUUCGGUUCGAAUCAGGGGUAUGUUUUCUUAUGUUUGUAUUCUCCGAAUCCGGUUGAACGUGAGAUUAUGAUUGAUUCACCUUGCCUUAUUGGUUACUAUUUUUUGGACCAGUUGUUUGGACGCUAAUAUUAUAGCAUUUGUUUUUAUUUCUCUGUUGC